GUGCUUGCUUCCACAGCACAUGUAUUAAUCAGAACCAUAUGGAGGAGAUUGGCAUGGCCCCUGUACAAGGACAGCAGGCAAAUUCAUGAGGCCUCCCAUGGUUCU
rfam:Neotoma lepida isolate 417 scaffold_652, whole genome shotgun sequence.